GACGAACGCUGGCGGCGUGCUUCAAAAAAGCAAGUAGAAAGGAAAGGACCUGCAUUAGAGGGGUGCAAGAAAGAAGCACGGAUGAGAAACACGUGAGUCACCUGAACUUACCUAUGGGACACCUUCACGAAACUGGGGCUAAUACCGGAUAGGAGCUCCUGCUGCAUGGUGGGGGUUGGAAAGUUUCGGCGGUUGGGGAUGGACUCGCGGCUUAUCAGCUUGUUGGUGGGGUAGUGGCUUACCAAGGCUUUGACGGGUAGCCGGCCUGAGAGGGUGACCGGCCACAUUGGGACUGAGAUACGGCCCAGACUCCUACGGGAGGCAGCAGUGGGGAAUAUUGCACAAUGGGCGGAAGCCUGAUGCAGCAACGCCGCGUGCGGGAUGACGGCCUUCGGGUUGUUAACCGCUUUCGCCUGUGACGAAGCGUGAGUGACGGUAAUGGGUAAAGAAGCACCGGCUAACUACGUG
rnacentral:rRNA from 1 species